AAGGAUCAUUACCGAGAAGAGGUGGCCUGCCCCUUCGGGGGCUGGCCACGCACCUCACCACCCGUGUUUACCGUACCCUGUUGCUUCGGCGGGCCCGCCGCUCAGCCGGCCACCGGGGGGCCACAGCGCCCCCUGGUCCGCGCCCGUCGAAGACCCCCUGAACACUGCCUGAAGGUUGCUGUCUGAGUAGUUUAUACAAACAAAAAAAACUUUCAACAACGGAUCUCUUGGUUCCG
rnacentral:misc_RNA from 1 species